UGUCAAAGAUAAGAACUUGAUGAAAGCAAAUAAAAAAGUAAGACCUUUUCAAAAAAAAUAGAAUAAAAUAAAAAUAGAGAAGUAUAUGUAUUGAAAAGGAAACUAGAAUGGCUAUUAUCAAAAGACAAAGAAAUUAAAGCCUCUUGAAAUUAGAUUAAAGCAAGAAAGGAGUUGAAAAGAGUAAAGAAAGCUUUACUCUUAUCUCUUUAUAUACUGUUUACUUAGGAUCUAUAUAGCAAUAUUCUAUAAGACUUCCA
rnacentral:lncRNA from 1 species